rnacentral:rRNA from 1 species
UACGAAGGGGGGCUAGCGUUGCUCGGAAUCACUGGGCGUAAAGGGUGCGUAGGCGGGUCUUUUAAGUCAGGGGUGAAAUCCUGGAGCUCAACUCCAGAACUGCCUUUGAUACUGAAGAUCUUGAGUUCGGGAGAGGUGAGUGGAACUGCGAGUGUAGAGGUGAAAUUCGUAGAUAUUCGCAAGAACACCAGUGGCGAAGGCGGCUCACUGGCCCGAUACUGACGCUGAUGCACGAAAGCGUGGGGAGCAAACAGG